CCUACGGAUGGCAGCAGUAGGGAAUAUUGCUCAAUGGGGGAAACCCUGAAGCAGCAACGCCGCGUGGAGGAUGAAGGUUUUCGGAUUGUAAACUCCUUUUGUUAGAGAAGAUAAUGACGGUAUCUAACGAAUAAGCACCGGCUCACUCCGUGCCAGCAGCCGCGGUCAUACGGAGGGUGCAAGCGUUACUCGGAAUCACUGGGCGUAAAGAGCGCGUAGGCGGGAUAGCAAGUCAGAUGUGAAAUCCUAUGGCUUAACCAUAGAACUGCAGUUGAGACUGUUAUUCUAGAGUAUGGGAGAGGUAGGUGGAAUUCUUGGUGGAGGGGUAAAAUCCGUAGAGAUCAAGAGGAAUACUCAUUGCGAAGGCGACCUGCUAGAACAUAACUGACGCUGAUGCGCGAAAGCGUGGGGAGCAAACAGGAUUAGAUACCCUUGGAGUC
rnacentral:rRNA from 1 species